GCCUAGCCCCGAUUGAAGCAAUUGUUUGAGCUCCUUUUUUUCUUUUAAAAAAAGAGCGAGUGCGGAAAGCGGGAAAUAGC
rnacentral:sRNA from 1 species